rnacentral:rRNA from 1 species
UAAUACCCUAUAGGUUACAGAUGCUGGAAUGCUCUGUAACUCAAAGUUCCGGCGCCAUAGGAUGGAUCUGCGGCCGAUUAGGUAGUUGUUGGGGUAACGGCCCAACAAGCCUGUAAUCGGUACGGGUUGUGGGAGCAAGAGCCCGGAGAUGGAAUCUGAGACACGAUUCCAGGCCCUACGGGGCGCAGCAGGCGCGAAAACUUUACAAUGCAGGAAACUGUGAUAAGGGAACCCCGAGUGCCCGUAUACGCGGGCUGUCCAGGUGUCUAAAACGCAUCUGAAGAAAGGGCCGGGCAAGACCGGUGCCAGCCGCCGCGGUAAUACCGGCGGCUCGAGUGGUGACCACUUUUAUUGGGCUUAAAGCGUUCGUAGCUGGACUCUUAAGUCUCUUGGGAAAUCCCGCGGCUUAACCGUGGGGCGUUUAAGAGAUACUGGGAGUCUAGGAACCGGGAGAGGUAAGAGGUACUUCGGGGGUAGAAGUGAAAUUCUGUAAUCCUCGAGGGACCACCUGUGGCGAAGGCGCCUCACCAGAACGGCUUCGACAGUGAGGGACGAAAGCUGGGGGAGCAAACCGGAUUAGAUACCCGGGUAGUCCCAGCCGUAAACGAUGCGCGUUAGGUGU